CCCUUAGAUGUUCUGGGCCGCACGCGCGCUACACUGAUGCAUUCAACGAGCACCCGCUGGGCCGAGAGGUCCGGCUAAUCUUUGAACGUGCAUCGUGCUGGGGAUAGAUGACUGCAAUUAUUCAUCUUCAACGAGGAAUUCCUAGUAAACGCAAGUCAUCAGCUUGCAUUGAUUACGUCCCUGCCCUUUGUACACACCGCCCGUCGCACCUACCGAUUGAAUGGUCCGGUGAAAUUCUCGGACGCGGACUUGCGAUGUUAAUUCGGAGCUUGACUGUGAAAGUUAAUUAAACCUUACCAUUUAGAGGAAGGUGAAGUCGUAACA
rnacentral:rRNA from 1 species